UACAGAGGUGGCAAGCGUUGUUCGGAAUUACUGGGCGUAAAGCGCGCGCAGGCGGCUUCGCGCGCCCGACGUGAAAGCCCCCGGCUUAACCGGGGAGAGUCGUUGGGGACGGCGGAGCUUGAGGGCGGGAGAGGUCGGUGGAAUUCCCGGUGUAGUGGUGAAAUGCGUAGAGAUCGGGAGGAACACCUGUGGCGAAGGCGGCCGACUGGACCUGACCUGACGCUGAGGCGCGAAGGCGUGGGGAGCAAACAGG
rnacentral:rRNA from 1 species